CAGUCGCCGCGGGAAUACAGAGGAUGCAAGCGUUAUCCGGAAUGAUUGGGCGUAAAGCGUCUGUAGGUGGCUUUUCAAGUCCGCCGUCAAAUCCCAGGGCUCAACCCUGGACAGGCGGUGGAAACUACCAAGCUGGAGUACGGUAGGGGCAGAGGGAAUUUCCAGUGGAGCGGUGAAAUGCGUUGAGAUCGAAAGGAACACCAACAGCGAAAGCACUCUGCUGGGACGACACUGACACUAAGAGACGAAAGCUAGGGGAGCAAAUGGGAUUAGAUACCCGCGUAGUCCCUGUCUCUUAUAC
rnacentral:rRNA from 1 species